rnacentral:misc_RNA from 1 species
UUAAGUUCAGCGGGUAUUCCUACCUGAUCCGAGGUCAACCUUGCAGUGGAGGGUUUAACGGCUGGAGCGAGCCAGGAGCCCUAAGCGAGGUAAGCUACUACGCUCGGGUCCGGGCCACGCCCGCCGCUGGAUUUGGGGGCCCACGGCGUGGUGCCCCAACACUAGGCAGAGCCUAAGGGUUGAAAUGACGCUCGAACAGG